CUCUCUCUCUUUCUCUCUGUCUCUCUUUAAAAAAAAGAAGAAAAUUAAGGAGGAAAAAAAGAUUAAUGAAUGAAUAUGGAAAUUAAUCUAAACAAGGAGGUGAAAGAUCUCUACAAGGAAAAUUAUAGAACACUGAAAAAAGAAAUUGAAGGUGACCUUGGAAGAUGGAAAGAUCUCCCAUGUUCUUGGAGAGGCAGAAUUAAUAUUGUGAAAAUGGCCAACUACCCAAAGUGCUGUACAGAUUCAGGGCAUCCCCACCAAACACCAAGGACAACCUUCACAGAACUAAAAAAUCAGUUCUAAAAUCCGCUUGAAAGGAUAAGAGAACCGAGUACCGAGGAGGUGGUGAGCAAGGAAAGCCACGCAGGAGGCGGCCCACCCUGGGCCUUACGCGGGGCUGAGGAGCUACAGCAACUAAGAUGGGAAGAGACCGUCAUGAAGAAAAAGAAGCUGGGAUCCCACACGGGGGCGUGAGGCGCAGCCGGGUGACGGGAGCACGGGAUUUCAACACCCAGGGAGAGAGCCUGGUGAACGGAGGGAGAGAAGAUGGGAGGGGGCCAGAAGCCAAACAAUGAGCAGGGGUGCAUGGGGCGCUCCCACCCGCGGAGGCCAGCCAGCCACGGGCAGAGGCUUGCAGAAAGCCCUGCGAGCAGAAUGGCCCGGAUCCUGCCAUCACAGGGACAGGCUCCUCCAGAGAUCCGUGAGGGAAGAGGACGAGGCCCGUGUUCACAGGCUUCGUCCCUGGGGGACAGAGAACUGAAGGGAGUUACCGCGAGUCCACGCCUGCCUAAAGCCGAACAGCUUCGUCACAGUGGAGAUACUCCAACAGGAGAGCGCCACCUCGCUGGCUUGUCCUACAGACGUCUCCGCAGCCUAGACAUGGACGGCAUGCCCAGGGGGAGCACAGGCCCAGCACAGCCCAAAGAUGGGUGUAUCUGGGACGUCAGAACUCCUUUGACAAAGGGCAUCAAUGGCAGCCGGCAGCCCCUCUGAGGAAAUGCUACCUCAUCGUGAAUGGGAGCAUCCUACCCCACUCAAGUCUAGUCAGCAUCAGGUCUGGCUUGACCCAGGGGAUCACAGGAUGUCACUCCUCAGGCUCCGAGGUUCCCUGAUAGUGUCCUGCACAGAGCGGUUCCUCCAUGAGGGGCCCUGGACUGGCAGAGGGACUCCAGGGAGAGAGUGUCUCGCUGUCCACAGUUCUUUGCCUAUUAUGACAUGGGUCAGCUGACCUGGUCACAUGCCACCCUCAGAUCAGUUGCAGAGUGAGCGUGUGAAACGCACUCAUUGGCUGACCGAGGUCAUGUGCGCCCCCUGGGACUCCGGGUCCUAGAGACGUGGGACGUCCCCAAACCCACGGAUGAGAAAAGGCUAUUGGGGGAGGGGCUUCAAAGGGUAGAAGGGGUGACUGUUGACACAGGUGAACAAGAGGGCAGGCAGGACACAGCCCCGGCCGUCCACGGCCCCAGCCAGGGUCUGGGCCUCCUGCUCUGUGGAGGCUGAGCUCACCCCAGCUGCCCCCUCCUGUGCAGCAGGACUUCUGCCACAGCCAAGGAGCACCUUGCCCCCCUCCAAACAGUGCCGGUCGUCCUUCCAAAGGUGUCCCCACUCCAGCCUGCGUCCUGGCCGGGGUCUGCGACUCAGGAUGGCUCCUCCCCCUGGGACACUCCCUCUGCCUGUCCCCUCCUUUCUCAGCGUCCCUAAGUGGUGGCCCUGGAGCCUUAAGGAAGCUGGGGACCUUGAGCCUGGUUGUCCUGUGGCUUGACUCAGGGGAGCCCAUGGUCUGAUUCCUUCUGCUCUGUUCACUAAUGACUCGGCCACUCAUCACGUCACCUGACGCCCAGGACAGGGAUGAGGUGCCUGUGUCCUGGGGGCAUGCCAGACCUACCAGGCACAGAGCAGGCCCUGCUGGGUGGCCCUGGGGGGUGUCCUGGUGUCAGGGGAACCCUGGGCAGGUGUCCUUGCAGAACAAACAGGUGUGUCUCCUCGGACUUAGGGAUCAUCGGGAUCUUCAGGCCACACAGGGACGGUAGCAGGGAGGCGGCCCACCCUGGGCCUUACACGGUACCAUACAGUGGAAGGAAGAGGAGAAGUGGCCCCAGUGCUCCGAGGAGAACCCCUGAGCACAUAACAAACGCUCACUGAGAACAGUGGGCGGAGCAGCUGCAGGGGCCCAGUCGGCAGAUGUGCCGGGUGUCACUGGCCUGAGCCAGGUGCUGACGGACUCCGAGAGCUGGCGUUCUGUGCACAUUGUGAAGGUCCCAAAUACUGGAUCUCCCUCCUGGACCCCUUGCCCUGAUUCCGGCUCAGGGAAGUUAUUAUCCUUGAGACUCAAUUGAUGCAAAAUGGACCUCCCUGCUUGGCUUUCCUGGCCUCUGUCACAGAGGGGUCUGUGUUUGGUUUUGACAGAACCCUGUCCUGGACAUAAUGUGCACUGAUUCCUCUGAGGCGUGACAUUUGCAAGGUGAGAUGUAUUUGUCAUCCCCAAACAGAAUGACUCAUUGUCGAGCAUUUUGAAAAGCGAGGACUUUGACCAUUGUUCCAGCGAUGGUUGGUCUGUUUUUGGCUCCAUAUUACAGCUUCACAGUGCAGGAUGUCGCCCUGGAAAGCCUUUGCCAGGUAGAGAGGCCUGUGAUGCUCGUUGGAACUGCAGGUCCCCAGGGAAGCCCUUCCAUAAGUGUGGGCUGACGGAGGUGUGGCGUUGACCGGGUGAAGGAGGCAUUUCCGCUCCGCUCAUGGCCAGAGUCUGGGGCCCCGGUUCCAUUUUCCAAAGGAACCAGCCAACAUCUUGUGGUGGGAAGCUGGGUUUAGGGUGAGAGUUGUGGUGGUGUAGGGUGAGGGGGCUGUCCCUAGAGAAAGGGACCCUGGUUGCACAGACCCGGCCCAUUUCCUAUGAACAUCCUCCUCCACCCACUGAGGCAACACAGACUUUCUCAUUAUUUCUGCCUUUCCCCCAAACCCACAUGAGAAGAUCCACCCUUCUAGUUUACAAGCAGAUAUGAUAAUUCUCAAUGUGCCAGUUGGAGGAGGGAAUAUUUGCCAUGGUCAUUAAAUAGAGCUGGGCAAAACAGCUGGACUCUCAGGGUCCAGAGUCAGAGAGAGGGUGUGGGGCUUUCUCCUGUCCCAUGGUAUCCCUAGCAGCUUUCCAAGGUAUGAUAAUUAAUUGCUGUGACAAAAUUCCGGAGAAAAAUUACUUAGAGGAAGGAGCCAGCUGUAGUGUGCAUGCCUCUAAUCCUCCUGACUCGGGAGGCUGAGGCAGGAAGAUAGCAAGUUUGAGGACAGCCUCAGCAAUUUGAUGAGGCUCUAAUCAACAUAGUGAGAACCUGUCUCAAAAAAUAAAAGGGCUGUGGAUGAGGAUCAGUGAUAAAGCACCCCUGGGUUCAGUCCCCAGUACCAUCUCCCCAAAAAGGAAGAAAGACUUAUUUUGGCUCAUUGUUUCAGAGGUGAAAGUGUGUGGUUGCUUGGCCCUGCUGUCCUGGGCCCCUGUCAAGGCAGAACAUCAGGGCAAGAGGCUUGUGAAAGCAGGCGCCUUCAAGGCCCUUCUCCAACUACCUAUUUCCCCCAACUAGGCCCGUCCCCCUGAGAUUCCACAACUUCCUAAGAGUCCCACAGGUAGUGGAUCCUUUGUGAAUCCUCAUAAUGCAUUUUGAGGUCAGGGACAUUAUGGUCCAGUCACCUGCCCACGGCCCACCUCUUAACACGGCUGCAUUGGGUUGCAAGCCUUCAAGCUUUUGGGGUGUUUGUGAUGCAAACCAUGACCUCCUGUCCCCAGCCCCCAUCACCUGGUGUCCAUCGCACAGUGUGAGCCCCGUUUGGUCCUUCUCAUGGCUCCCAUAGUCAACAGGCUCCAUGUGGCUCUAACAGCAAGUCAAGUUUCCCCUCUGACCCCAGGUGGGCUCUUUGAUGUGAGCCACUGGGGAAAUCAGAAAAUGAAUCGGACACUCCCAGAUACAGUGCAGGAGACCAGGAAAACAGUGAGGAGGAACUGGGCCAAGAAAGGCCAGAACCCACCCUAGUGGGAGCCAGUUCCCUGCUGGGUUCUGGUUCUGGUCAUGUCUGGCCUCCGAGACACAGUGGAUGACGUGAGCCCCCAGGGCGUGAGCAGCCCCAGCCCGACUCCCUUGCAAGGCCACUCUUGGGCUGUCCCUGCCUGUGGCUUUCCCUGGAGAUGGUCCUUGUCCCUGGCAUCUCGGCCCUGCGUCCUCCACCGCAGCUGGUGUUCACUGUCACAGCUCCUCACGUCACUCUCCACGGGCCACUCUCAAGGGAGUGACCCUGGCUCACUCCUAGCCUCCAGGUUUGCUUUGGAAUCUGGUGGAGACCUGCAAGACUGGUCACCCUUGGUGUGUGGGCCUACCAAGUGCUGGACGGCAGGACAAUGGAAAGGAAUCCUGGGAAACAAGUCUCUAGACAGCCCUGUGCCCACAGGAGCCCUGGGCCUUCUUCUCAGAUCCAAGGCCUUGCUCCUGGAGCCAGUGGGAGGGGUAGGACCAGUGCGUUAGAGCCCUGAAGCUCUUCCCCAUGCUCUUUGCAAAGUCCUUGGCCUCUUUAUAACGAUGCCGUCUCCUCCGCAGCCACAGCCUCCUUGGUCUCAGCCUUGUACUUUUACUCUGUUGGCAACAGGGAGCACUUUCAGUGUCGGUCCACACGGCCUUUGCUCCUAUUUCUCCCUGUAAACCUGGCUAAAAGUAACCAGCAAAGCCCACACCAGGCCCUGAAUGCGGGGCUGUCUUGCAAUUUUCUCCAUCAUAUUAAUAAUUCCAUCACCUUUCAGCUCAGCCUCACACAGUCUCAGGGCACUGACAGAACACAGGCAAGGACUUGGUCAGGUGGCCAUGAAGGGCUUCUGUACCAGCUUCAAACAAAAUCCUCAUUGCCACUGGAAACCUCAGCAGUACACUAUUUUUUUUUUGUUUUUUUUUAGAAAAAGGAAAAAAGAAGGUUUAUUGCUUUGCUAGCAAAGGAGAAACACAUGGGACUUCUGUUCCAAAAGCUGUGAUUCUGCCCACCAGCAGGAAUAGGGGGCUUUUAAAGAGGUGACUCAAAGCUGCAUUCCAUGAGUGCUCUGUUGGAGUUGUAAUUCGCUUGUUAAUUUAGGAGAUAGUCAUUUCUGAGAUCUUCUUAUACCAUCCCCAAAGUCUGGAUUACUUCAUUCUUAUGGCGAGUGUGUACUCAAGGAUAGCUAAAUCUGCCUAAAAUGGGGAAGAAAGAUAAUCCUAUUUCCCUUGAGAUUAGGGAGGGGGAGAUUAGGAAAGAUUAGGGAGGGAAGAAGAGAAAGAAACAUGUUCAUUUAAAAACCAGUUGCAGUGGUGGAGCAGCAAGGGCUACAUUCAAAACAUAAAGUGGACACUGAUGUACUCUUCCCCACUGUCAAUUUCUACAUUGCGUUUCUG
rnacentral:lncRNA from 1 species